rnacentral:misc_RNA from 1 species
GCUAGACCCACUUCCUCUUCGACUUUUCUCUGACCACGGCCUCUUGCUUGAGCCGUGUCCCCGCACGGACAGCACUACCUCAUCAAGGUUCUCUUUCUCUAACAUGCUAAAGUUAUCGUCCUUAUGCGUCCUGCUUGAAGGACACAUGGCAAAGAAAAUGAGAAUUACUAUCAAUGCUAACAUCAUCACCCCAAACAGUGAUGUG